rnacentral:rRNA from 1 species
CAGGCUUAACACAUGCAAGUCGAGGGGCAGCAUGGUCUUAGCUUGCUAAGGCCGAUGGCGACCGGCGCACGGGUGAGUAACACGUAUCCAACCUGCCGUCUACUCUUGGACAGCCUUCUGAAAGGAAGAUUAAUACAAGAUGGCAUCAUGAGUCCGCAUGUUCACAUGAUUAAAGGUAUUCCGGUAGACGAUGGGGAUGCGUUCCAUUAGAUAGUAGGCGGGGUAACGGCCCACCUAGUCUUCGAUGGAUAGGGGUUCUGAGAGGAAGGUCCCCCACAUUGGAACUGAGACACGGUCCAAACUCCUACGGGAGGCAGCAGUGAGGAAUAUUGGUCAAUGGGCGAGAGCCUGAACCAGCCAAGUAGCGUGAAGGAUGACUGCCCUAUGGGUUGUAAACUUCUUUUAUAAAGGAAUAAAGUCGGGUAUGCAUACCCGUUUGCAUGUACUUUAUGAAUAAGGAUCGGCUAACUCCGUGCCAGCAGCCGCGGUAAUACGGAGGAUCCGAGCGUUAUCCGGAUUUAUUGGGUUUAAAGGGAGCGUAGAUGGAUGUUUAAGUCAGUUGUGAAAGUUUGCGGCUCAACCGUAAAAUUGCAGUUGAUACUGGAUAUCUUGAGUGCAGUUGAGGCAGGCGGAAUUCGUGGUGUAGCGGUGAAAUGCUUAGAUAUCACGAAGAACUCCGAUUGCGAAGGCAGCCUGCUAAGCUGCAACUGACAUUGAGGCUCGAAAGUGUGGGUAUCAAACAGGAUUAGAUACCCUGGUAGUCCACACGGUAAACGAUGAAUACUCGCUGUUUGCGAUAUACAGCAAGCGGCCAAGCGAAAGCGUUAAGUAUUCCACCUGGGGAGUACGCCGGCAACGGUGAAACUCAAAGGAAUUGACGGGGGCCCGCACAAGCGGAGGAACAUGUGGUUUAAUUCGAUGAUACGCGAGGAACCUUACCCGGGCUUAAAUUGCAGAUGAAUUACGGUGAAAGCCGUAAGCCGCAAGGCAUCUGUGAAGGUGCUGCAUGGUUGUCGUCAGCUCGUGCCGUGAGGUGCCGGCUUAAGUGCCAUAACGAGCGCAACCCUUGUUGUCAGUUACUAACAGGUUCCGCUGAGGACUCUGACAAGACUGCCAUCGUAAGAUGUGAGGAAGGUGGGGAUGACGUCAAAUCAGCACGGCCCUUACGUCCGGGGCUACACACGUGUUACAAUGGGGGGGUACAGAGGGCCGCUACCACGCGAGUGGAUGCCAAUCCCAAAAACCUCUCUCAGUUCGGACUGGAGUCUGCAACCCGACUCCACGAAGCUGGAUUCGCUAGUAAUCGCGCAUCAGCCACGGCGCGGUGAAUACGUUCCCGGGCCUUGUACACACCGCCCGUCAAGCCAUGGGAGCCGGGGGUACCUGAAGUGCGUAACCGCGAGGAGCGCCCUAGGGUAAAACUGGUGACUGG